AUGGCGGGUGGGGGACGGGGACCACAUCUAGACGUGGCGAGAUCCUUGGAUCCCACGGCCAUCUUCCUUCCGGCCGAUCACCCAAAAGGCUCCUGCCGUCUCAAUCGUGUUUCAACGUUUCUGGAUGCUAAUGGGGCAUGGAGGGCCGAUCGCCUCCGUGAAUAUUUUUGGGAGAUGGAUGUUCAGCAUAUUCUCAAAAUUCGAACUUCUCCAAGACAUCGGUCUGACUUUAUCUCAUGGUAUCCAAAGAAGAGUGGAGUUUUCUCAGUUAAAAGUGCAUACAAUUAUCUACAUGCGAUCACAACACAACAUUUUCUGAAGGGGCAACAAGUGCGUCCGCGAGUGGAUCCCGGUCCAUAUGGAACUGUGUGUGGCAAACAUCGGUCCCGCAGAAGAUGA
rnacentral:rRNA from 1 species